rnacentral:rRNA from 1 species
UAAUACGGAGGGUGCAAGCGUUAUCCGGAUUCACUGGGUUUAAAGGGUGCGUAGGUGGGCAGGUAAGUCAGUGGUGAAAUCUCCGGGCUUAACCCGGAAACUGCCAUUGAUACUAUCUGUCUUGAAUACCCUGGAGGUGAGCGGAAUAUGUCAUGUAGCGGUGAAAUGCUUAGAUAUGACAUAGAACACCCAUUGCGAAGGCAGCUCACUACGGGACUAUUGACACUGAGGCACGAAAGCGUGGGGAUCAAACAGGA